rnacentral:rRNA from 1 species
CUUGGGAAUAUGCCUUAUGGUGGGGGACAACAGUUGGAAACGACUGCUAAUACCGCAUAACGUCUACGGACCAAAGGAGGGGAUCUUCGGACCUUUCGCCAUUUGAUUAGCCCAAGUGAGAUUAGCUAGUUGGUGAGGUAAUGGCUCACCAAGGCGACGAUCUCUAGCUGGUUUGAGAGGAUGAUCAGCCACACUGGGACUGAGACACGGCCCAGACUCCUACGGGAGGCAGCAGUGGGGAAUAUUGCACAAUGGGCGAAAGCCUGAUGCAGCCAUGCCGCGUGUGUGAAGAAGGCCUUCGGGUUGUAAAGCACUUUCAGUUGUGAGGAAAGGGAUGUAGUUAAUAACUGCAUUCUGUGACGUUAACAACAGAAGAAGCACCGGCUAACUUCGUUGCCAGCAGCCGCGGGUAAUACGAGGGGUGC